rnacentral:rRNA from 1 species
GACGUAGGGUGCGAGCGUUGUCCGGAUUUAUUGGGCGUAAAGAGCUCGUAGGCGGCUCGUCGCGUCUGCUGUGAAAACUGGGGGCUCAACCUCGGGUCUGCAGUCGAUACGAGCAAACUAGAGUGUUGCAGGGGAGACUGGAAUUCCUGGUGUAGCGGUGAAAUGCGCAGAUAUCAGGAGGAACACCGGUGGCGAAGGCGGGUCUCUGGGCAACAACUGACGCUGAGGAGCGAAAGCGUGGGGAGCGAACAGG